rnacentral:rRNA from 1 species
UUAGGCCUCACUUAGUAUGACUGGAGCCUUGGGUUAAUUCCUUAAGUCGGGCAACCCGUGCUCCUCCUUUCCCUAGUUUCCAUCAGGAAAUUGGGGAGUGUAGUGAGACUGCAAACGCAAGUAGAGAGGGAGGUGGGGAAGAUGUUAAAUCAUCACGGCCCUUGGGCCAUGGGCCACACACAUAGUACAAUGCAAGGGGCAGAGAGCAGCUACACAGAGAUGAUAUGCAAAUCUCGAAAGCCGGUCUCAGUUCGGAUUGGAGUCUGCAACUCGACUCUAUGAAGCUGGAAUCGCUAGUAAUCGCGCAUCAGCCAUGGCGCGGUUAAUACGUUCCCGGCCCUCCACACACCACCCCCCAAGCCAUGGAAGUCUGGGGUACCGAAGUCUAACCCCGUAACAGGACGCUCUCAUACAUACCC